UGUUGUGAUAGCUUAAUUUUCAAGAAAACUCAUUACUAUUUGAGAAUUUGAAACAAUGAGGGCAAUAUGUAUAAUUUCAUUUCUUCUAAUAUUUUUGAUCAUCCAUGAAGCAAAAGCAAGGUCCAUGCAACAAUAUGAUAAUUCCUACAAGGAAUUAUUUUCUCAAUUUAAAGUUGCUAGAGAGCUAAGAGGUUUAAAAGGCAAAAAAGCACCACCACCACCACCAGAUCCUAAUAAGGCAAGUCGUAUGCUUGUCCCUCCUGCUUAUCGUCAUAGAUCACCACCACCACCAUCACCAUCAGAAGUACCAACAAGUUAUUCAUGAGCUGACAAGGGCGGAACUAGGAUUUUAAAUUUAUGCAUUCUAAAUUCUACUUAUUAGAUUUGUAUUUUAACAUAAAUAUAAAGUUUUGGACAAAAAUGAUUUGAGUUUCACAAAAUAAAUAAGCAGAUGUGUAGUUCAGCCCCUGAUUGGGCUUGACAUCAUGUACUAUUCCAUAUGUACUUAAUUUUUUAUUUUAUUUUGGUGAAUUGAAUGCUUUGAUUUGUAAUAAAAGAUUAAGGAUGCUUGAAAGAG